UACGUAGGGUGCGAGCGUUAAUCGGAAUUACUGGGCGUAAAGUGUGCGCAGGCGGCAGAGCAAGUCGAGUGUGAAAGCCCCGGGCUUAACUUGGGAAUUGCGCUCGAAACUACUUUGCUGGAGUGUGGCAGAGGAAGGUGGAAUUCCACGUGUAGCGGUGAAAUGCGUAGAGAUGUGGAGGAACACCAAUGGCGAAGGCAGCGUCCUGGGAAGUGGACUGACGCUCAUGUGCGAAAGCUAGGGGAGCGAACGGGG
rnacentral:rRNA from 1 species